AGACCCGAAACCCGGUGAUCUAGCCAUGGGCAGGUUGAAGGUUGGGUAACACUAACUGGAGGACCGAACCGACUAAUGUUGAAAAAUUAGCGGAUGACCUGUGGCUGGGGGUGAAAGGCCAAUCAAACCGGGAGAUAGCUGGUUCUCCCCGAAAGCUAUUUAGGUAGCGCCUCGUGAAUUCAUCUCCGGGGGUAGAGCACUGUUUCGGCUAGGGGGCCAUCCCGGCUUACCAACCCGAUGCAAACUGCGAAUACCGGAGAAUGUUAUCACGGGAGACACACGGCGGGUGCUAACGUCCGUCGUGAAGAGGGAAACAACCCAGACCGCCAGCUAAGGUCCCAAAGUCAUGGUUAAGUGGGAAACGAUGUGGGAAGGCCCAGACAGCCAGGAUGUUGGCUUAGAAGCAGCCAUCAUUUAAAGAAAGCGUAAUAGCUCACUGGUCGAGUCGGCCUGCGCGGAAGAUGUAACGGGGCUAAACCAUGCACCGAAGCUGCGGCAGCGACACUAUGUGUUGUUGGGUAGGGGAGCGUUCUGUAAGCCUGCGAAGGUGACCUGUGAGGGUUGCUGGAGGUAUCAGAAGUGCGAAUGCUGACAUAAGUAACGAUAAAGCGGGUGAAAAGCCCGCUCGCCGGAAGACCAAGGGUUCCUGUCCAACGUUAAUCGGGGCAGGGUGAGUCGACCCCUAAGGCGAGGCCGAAAGGCGUAGUCGAUGGGAAACGGGUUAAUAUUCCCGUACUUGGUGUUACUGCGAAGGGGGGACGGAGAAGGCUAUGUUGGCCGGGCGACGGUUGUCCCGGUUUAAGCGUGUAGGUGUGUGUUCCAGGUAAAUCCGGUUCACUUUAACACUGAGGCGUGACGACGAGGCACUACGGUGCUGAAGCAACAAAUGCCCUGCUUCCAGGAAAAGCCUCUAAGCAUCAGGUAACAUCAAAUCGUACCCCAAACCGACACAGGUGGUCAGGUAGAGAAUACCAAGGCGCUUGAGAGAACUCGGGUGAAGGAACUAGGCAAAAUGGUGCCGUAACUUCGGGAGAAGGCACGCUGACACGUAGGUGAAGUGAUUUACUCAUGGAGCUGAAGUCAGUCGAAGAUACCAGCUGGCUGCAACUGUUUAUUAAAAACACAGCACUGUGCAAACACGAAAGUGGACGUAUACGGUGUGACGCCUGCCCGGUGCCGGAAGGUUAAUUGAUGGGGUCAGCGCAAGCGAAGCUCCUGAUCGAAGCCCCGGUAAACGGCGGCCGUAACUAUAACGGUCCUAAGGUAGCGAAAUUCCUUGUCGGGUAAGUUCCGACCUGCACGAAUGGCGUAAUGAUGGCCAGGCUGUCUCCACCCGAGACUCAGUGAAAUUGAACUCGCUGUGAAGAUGCAGUGUACCCGCGGCAAGACGGAAAGACCCCGUGAACCUUUACUAUAGCUUGACACUGAACAUUGAGCCUUGAUGUGUAGGAUAGGUGGGAGGCUUUGAAGUGUGG
rnacentral:rRNA from 1 species